rnacentral:rRNA from 1 species
UACAGAGGGGGCAAGCGUUGUUCGGAAUUACUGGGCGUAAAGGGUGCGUAGGUGGCGCGCUAAGUCAGGUGUGAAAUUUCGGAGCUUAACUCCGAAACUGCAUUUGAUACUGGCGUGCUUGAGGACUGGAGAGGAGACUGGAAUUCAUGGUGUAGCAGUGAAAUGCGUAGAGAUCAUGAGGAAGACCAGUGGCGAAGGCGGGUCUCUGGACAGUUCCUGACACUGAGGCACGAAGGCCAGGGGAGCAAACGGG